CUUCAGAUUCUGACUUCUUACUCAGUAAGAACCCUUAGAACUUGAGUGAAAUACUUCAGAUUCUUUAAAGGCUUCCAGACCUUCAGAAUUGACUUGCUUUCUUUGAAAGGAAAUGUAUUUUAUUUAGGGUUUAUAUGCUUUAUCAUUCAUGUUUUUGACCAGUUAUUUAUUUCUCAGAUCCUUUUAAAUAUUUUUCUUUCAAUAUCUCACUUUAUCACACUGUAUAAUUUUCUUGAGUGGACAGAUUCACUCCCAUGUUUAGAUUGGGUCUUCCUGAGGACUGUGAAGGAGAAUCUGUUCCACAUCUUUUUCCUAAUUUCUGACAGCCUCAGGCAUUCGUAGGCUUGUGGAUGGCAUUCUCCCUGUGCCUUUACAUUGUCUUCUUUCUGUCCCCAUCCAUUUCUCUGUCCAAACUUCCCCUUUUAUAAGGACACCAGUCAAAUUAGAUUAGGGACCAUUCUAAUGACCUCACUGUAAUUUGAUUAAAGAUGCUGUUUCCAAAUAAAGUCACAUCAUGACGCACUCGGAGUUAGAACUUAAACAUAUAUUUUGUGGGUAGUGGAACACAGUUUUAGCUCAUAGCAACUUGUCUCUUCAGAUUUGGGACUGGUAGUUAGCUUCAUGAUCUAAAGUCCAAGAAUAGUUAUUGAUUUUCACUUUUUCCAACUUUCUCUCGUAAGAAUGGGAAUGAUGACUUGUAAGUUAUCAAGGUUUUUCCAUGUUGCAGCACCCCAUAGCUUUUUAGCAUUUAUAUUCUGACAAUAUCCAAGUUCAUUUUAGAUAGUACCCCUGAUUUCUGAAUUAUCUAACUGGUUAUUUUGGUCAUUGAAACCUUACUUACAGAUUUCUAAAAGAAUUAACAUAUUCCACAUAUAUCUUAUCAUUUUCCCUCAACUGACACUCAUUUAUUUUCCUUAAUUUUCCAGAAAGAAAGAAGGAAAGAAAGAAAGAAAGAAAGAAAGAAAGAAAGAAAGAAAGAAAGAAAGAAAGAAAGGAGGAGGGAGGGAGGAAGGGAGGGAGGAGAAAGAAAGAAAGAAGGAAAGAAAGAAAGAAAAAAGAAAGUAAGAAAGAAAGAAAGAAAGAAAGAAAGAAAGAAAGAAAGAAAGAAAGAAAGAAAAAGAAAGAAGAAAGAAAAAGGAAGGAGGGAAGGAGUGAAGGAGAGAAAGAGGAAAGAUUCAACUAUUAAGCUAGAUUUCAAGACAGAAACCUAUAAAGCACUUUUAUACAUCUUUCUUCUCUUAUCCUUAAGAAUAUUUCCUUUGCAAAAAUGGCCUGUAACAUUUGUACUGCAACGCCUGGCUUCCUUUACCACUGAAGCUACACAAAGUAAAAUGGCAAAUCACAUUUGAAAUGAAUAUAACAGGAGAAAUACUGCAUCAAUUAAAUCUUACAUCUCUUCAGGUUUUAUAUCACCUCCACAAUUUCCUAAAAACUUCAAAAGCUUGAUACUUCAAAAUGGAAUAGACUUGGCUUGCUGAUUUAUCAGUUAUUAUGUAAAAUUUCUAAGAAAGUUGCUAUUGCUUGAACACUAAUUAUGAAAUUCAAUUUCAGUGUAAGCUCUUUUUUUUGGUCUACUGUUCAGAGGAUCAAAAGAAAGAAAUAAGAAAUUUGACAAAGUACUAAUAAUACAAACUUUGUGGAAAAUGAAGCAGAAGUCCCAAGAAGAGAAAUGUUAAUGCCAGUGAGCCAAGAUUUAUUCCAAGUCCUUCAGCAAUUAAAAUAUUUUACAUAUGAAAGCCUUUGGAAUAUUUGCUAUCUUUAUUGUAAGCUUCAAAUGCAUCAGCUUUCAUUUUCUUAACUGUAAAGAGGAAACAAACAAAUGGAACUAGCUCCACUGUUUUUCAUACAGAUGUGUCAAGUUGCUUAGACUCCCUGUUCUAUUUUCCCAAACCAGAUGCUUAGGGAUAUGCAAUGAUUGGGUGAUUUCUUUUUUAUCAAGAUGUUGUUUCACAGGCAGUCUGUUUCUUUAUGGACCAUGGUAUAAAGUGAUGGAGAGCCAUGUGGUAAUACACAAAAAAUAUCGCCAAAGAAAAAAAUUAUAAUAAAAUAAGGAGAUACUUCUCUUAGGUUGUACA
ensembl:lncRNA